GGUAUUUCCUGUGUUCUUGUUGGGAAAGGUCAGUAAGCAAAUGGAAAGAAAGCUCAACGUGAUAGAGUUCAUGGCAUGCUCUUAUCAAGACUUUGGGAAUUGAUUUUUAUAAAAAGCUAUUAGAAGUUUCCAGAAAGCUUGUGAUGUGGUCACAGACUCUGAAGCCACCGCUGGACCACCAUGAAGCUCUCCAAAUAACCUGACAUUUUGCAACUGUAAAACAAGAAUUGCAAUGUUGAACCUUCAAAUGAGUCAAGCAUGAAAUGCGAGAAAACAGAAUUUGGCACCAGAGACAGAACUGGAGUGUUUCAGCAAAGGCAAGACUUGAACCUACUUGGAGCUGUCUGAAGCCAGAAUAAAAGAAUCUAAAUUUCCA